rnacentral:rRNA from 1 species
GAUGAACGCUGGCGGCGUGCCUAAUACAUGCAAGUCGAGCGAACAGACGAGGAGCUUGCUCCUCUGACGUUAGCGGCGGACGGGUGAGUAACACGUGGAUAACCUACCUAUAAGACUGGGAUAACUUCGGGAAACCGGAGCUAAUACCGGAUAACAUGUUGAACCGCAUGGUUCAACAGUGAAAGACGGUCUUGCUGUCACUUAUAGAUGGAUCCGCGCCGCAUUAGCUAGUUGGUAAGGUAACGGCUUACCAAGGCAACGAUGCGUAGCCGACCUGAGAGGGUGAUCGGCCACACUGGAACUGAGACACGGUCCAGACUCCUGCGGGAGGCAGCAGUAGGGAAUCUUCCGCAAUGGGCGAAAGCCUGACGGAGCAACGCCGCGUGAGUGAAGAAGGUCUUCGGGUCGUAAAACUCUGUUAUUAGGGAAGAACAAAUGUGUAAGUAACUAUGCACGUCUUGACGGUACCUAAUCAGAAAGCCACGGCUAACUACGUG